ACAAUGGAGAGUUUGAUCCUGGCUCAGGAUGAACGCUAGCGGCAGGCUUAACACAUGCAAGUAGAACGGUAACAGUCCUUCGGGAGCUGACGAGUUGCGAACGGGUGCGUAACGCGUAUGCAACCUACCUAUAACAGAGGGAUAGCCCAUAGAAAUGUGGAUUAAUACCUCAUAACAUCUUAAGAUGGCAUCAUCUAAAGAUUAAAACUCCGGUGGUUAUAGAUGGGCAUGCGUGACAUUAGCUAGUUGGUGAGGUAACUGCUCACCAAGGCAACGAUGUCUAGGGGUUCUGAGAGGAUGAUCCCCCACACUGGUACUGAGACACGGACCAGACUCCUACGGGAGGCAGCAGUGAGGAAUAUUGCGCAAUGGAGGAAACUCUGACGCAGCCAU
rnacentral:rRNA from 1 species